rnacentral:rRNA from 1 species
GAUGAACGCUGGCGGCGUGCCUAAUACAUGCAAGUCGAGCGAACAGACGAGGAGCUUGCUCCUCUGACGUUAGCGGCGGACGGGUGAGUAACACGUGGAUAACCUACCUAUAAGACUGGGAUAACUUCGGGAAACCGGAGCUAAUACCGGAUAACAUGUUGAACCGCAUGGUUCAACAGUGAAAGACGGUCUUGCUGUCACUUAUAGAUGGAUCCGCGCCGCAUUAGCUAGUUGGUAAGGUAACGGCUUACCAAGGCAACGAUGCGUAGCCGACCUGAGAGGAGGGUCGGACAAACGAGAGAAGGACAAGGGACGGGAGGCGGACGGGGGGAAGCGAGGGGGGAGUUUCAAAAAGGGGCAGAAGAAUAAGGGAACGAGGCAGCGUGAGAGAAAAAGAUGUAUGAGUCGUAAAAAUAUGUGAUGAAGGAAGAAGAGAGGUGAAGGUAACUAGGGGGGUAGGGAGGGUAAGUGAUCGGAAAGGCACGGCUAAAGGAGGG